GUAGUCUCGCACAGAUGCAUAUCAAUAAGCGGAGGAAAAGAAACUAACAAGGAUUCCCUCAGUAACGGCGAGUGAAGCGGGAAGAGCUCAAAUUUGAAAUCUUGAAAGGUCACCUUUCACGAAUUGUAGUUUAAAGAAGUGUUUUCUGUUACGAUCGUAAUAUAAGUUCUUUGGAAUAGGACAUCACAGAGGGUGAGAAUCCCGUCUAUGAUUGCGAUUUGUAGCUUUGUGAUACACUUUCAAAGAGUCGGGUUGUUCGGGAAUGCAGCCCAAAACGGGAGGUAAAUUUCUUCUAAGGCUAAAUAUUGGCGAGAGACCGAUAGCGAACAAGUACCGUGAGGGAAAGAUGAAAAGAACUUUGAAAAGAGAGUUAAAUAGUACGUGAAAUUGUCAAAAGGGAAGCGUUUAACACCAGUGUUGUUUUCUGAAAAUCAACCUCUGUUAGCUUUAUGCAUGUUUGUUUAGACCUAAUCAGCUAUCUUUCAUGUUCUAUUGUUUGCAGUGGUGCACUUUUCAGUUUACAGGUCAACAUCAGUUUUUUUUACCGUAAAAAAGUUAAAGAAAGGUAGCUCAUGGCUCCGGUCGUGAGUGUUAUAGUCUUUUUCCUAUGCGGUAGGAGAGACUGAGGUCUGCAGUGUAGGCUAUUUGGCUAGAUACUCAGGUGCUAUGUGAUACCAUUUCAUAAACAACUUGUUGAUUAUGUUUUGUCUAUUGCAUACUCGCUUGUACUAUCAUACCUACGCUUAGGAUGUUGAGUCGUAGAGCACGCAG
rnacentral:rRNA from 1 species